ACAAUGGAGAGUUUGAUCCUGGCUCAGGAUGAACGCUAGCGGGAGGCCUAACACAUGCAAGCCGAGCGGUAUUGUUUCUUCGGAAAUGAGAGAGCGGCGUACGGGUGCGGAACACGUGUGCAACCUGCCUUUAUCUGGGGGAUAGCCUUUCGAAAGGGAGAUUAAUACCCCAUAAUAUUUAGAAUGGCAUCAUUUUAAAUUGAAAACUCCGGUGGAUAGAGAUGGGCACGCGCAAGAUUAGAUAGUUGGUGAGGUAACGGCUCACCAAGUCAACGAUCUUUAGGGGGCCUGAGAGGGUGAUCCCCCACACUGGUACUGAGACACGGACCAGACUCCUACGGGAGGCAG
rnacentral:ncRNA from 1 species